rnacentral:lncRNA from 1 species
AUGCUUCGAUCUGGUUAGGAACCGAUGGAGGCUCCCAUUGCUUGGAGUUGAAGAGGAGACCCAACUCAGCAGGGAUUGAAUCGAAACCACAAGCGGAAACGAUUAGAGAGCCAGUCUCUUGUGCUCUUUCGUGGUACUUAGCUUCCAUCCUCUCCAUGAACUCUGGCUCACCACUUAUAUCCAAAUAAUCACACCUACACACACAAAGUUCAACUUUUUAAGUUCACACUCACCAGAGAGAAAACAGAGGAAAAGACGAUUUUAUCCUGAGUCCCCGCAACAAAGAAGCAAACCAAACAUAACAAGAUUUACAUAUUUGUCAUCAAAGUUACAAGCUUUAACCAUUACUUUAGAUUGCAUCAAGUUUAACUUUUUUUUGUAAGUUGACAGAGUAACAAGUGAAAACAGAGAAAAAACACGAGUUUACCCAGAGUCGGCACAAGCGGCGACGACGGGAUCGCCAUGGAUACGGAACGGUCCGACACAGUUGAGGAUGAGUUUGGUCUGAGUACAGAGACGGCGAAGUGAAUCCGGGUCUGACGUAUCAGCAGUGAGGAUAUCGACGGAGGAAGGAGGCGGGUUCGGGCGGGAUGCCCACUCGAGAGACUGGGUUAACCGGGUCGGGUUGCGACCCGCUAAAGCUAGGGACUUUAACGGAGAAGAAGGAGUUUGGAGGAACUUGAGAGCUUCCCGGACGACGUAUUUUCCGGUGAAUCCGGAUGCUCCGAGUAUGACGAUAUCGUAAACCGGGUUGGGGUUUUGGGUUGGGUCCAUCGUGUGUGUGAUCGGGUACGGAUUCAGAGAAACUUUUGGGUUCAAGAGAGAUCUUUGGUGGGAGAAAGUCUUUGCUGGAUUUACUCCAUACACCCCAAGCCCUCCUUAAAUGAAUUCUCACUGUCACGAGUCCAUCUUUAUUAUUCCUAUCCUAUCCUUUUAUUUUUGCACUUCCCAAAUAAUUUUUCCCCAU